UACGUAGGGUGCACGCGUUGUCCGGAAUUAUUGGGCGUAAAGAGUUCGUAGGCGGUUUGUUGCGUCGGCUGUGAAAUCCCGAGGCUCAACCUCGGGUCUGCAGUCGAUACGAGCAAACUAGAGUGUUGCAGGGGAGACUGGAAUUCCUGGUGUAGCGGUGAAAUGCGCAGAUAUCAGGAGGAACACCGGUGGCGAAGGCGGGUCUCUGGGCAACAACUGACGCUGAGGAGCGAAAGCGUGGGGAGCGAACAGG
rnacentral:rRNA from 1 species